GAAGUUAGCGGCGGACGGGUGAGUAACACGUGGGUAACCUACCUAUAAGACUGGGAUAACUUCGGGAAACCGGAGCUAAUACCGGAUAAUAUUUAGCUUCGCAUGAAGCAAUAGUGAAAGACGGUUCUGCUGUCACUUAUAGAUGGACCCGCGGUGUAUUAGCUAGUUGGUGAGGUAACGGCUCACCAAGGCAACGAUACAUAGCCGACCUGAGAGGGUGAUCGGCCACACUGGGACUGAGACACGGCCCAGACUCCUACGGGAGGCAGCAGUAGGGAAUCUUCCGCAAUGGACGAAAGUCUGACGGAGCAACGCCGCGUGAGUGAAGAAGGUUUUCGGAUCGUAAAACUCUGUUGUAAGGGAAGAACAAGUACGUUAGUAACUGAACGUACCUUGACGGUACCUUACCAGAAAGCCACGGCUAACUACGUGCCAGCAGCCGCGGUAAUACGUAGGUGGCAAGCGUUAUCCGGAAUUAUUGGGCGUAAAGCGCGCGUAGGCGGUCUCUUAAGUCUGAUGUGAAAGCCCCCGGCUCAACCGGGGAGGGUCAUUGGAAACUGGGAGACUUGAGUGCAGAAGAGGAGAGUGGAAUUCCAUGUGUAGCGGUGAAAUGCGCAGAGAUAUGGAGGAACACCAGUGGCGAAGGCGGCUCUCUGGUCUGUAACUGACGCUGAGGUGCGAAAGCGUGGGGAUCAAACAGGAUUAGAUACCCU
rnacentral:rRNA from 1 species